UAUGUCUAUUCGCUGAAUUUCCGCCGGAGGGCGGAAAGCGGGGGAACCGGUCGUGUCUGCAGCAUCCGCUGCGGCCAUAUGGGGUGAAUCUCGAAAGUGAUGAGUAGGGCUACUCUUGGGCCCGAAUCCGUCAGCUAACCACGCAAGCGUGUUAAGAGAGGCAGC
rnacentral:sRNA from 1 species